rnacentral:rRNA from 1 species
GACGAACGCUGGCGGCGUGCUUAACACAUGCAAGUCGAACGGAAAGGCCCUGCUUUUGUGGGGUGCUCGAGUGGCGAACGGGUGAGUAACACGUGAGUAACCUGCCCUUGACUUUGGGAUAACUUCAGGAAACUGGGGCUAAUACCGGAUAGGAGCUCCUGCUGCAUGGUGGGGGUUGGAAAGUUUCGGCGGUUGGGGAUGGACUCGCGGCUUAUCAGCUUGUUGGUGGGGUAGUGGCUUACCAAGACUUUGACGGGUAGCCGGCCUGAGAGGGUGACCGGCCACAUUGGGACUGAGAUACGGCCCAGACUCCUACGGGAGGUAGCAGUGGGGAAUAUUGCACAAUGGGCGGAAGCCUGAUGCAGCAACGCCGCGUGCGGGAUGACGGCCUUCGGGUUGUAAACCGCUUUCGCCUGUGACGAAGCGUGAGUGACGGUAAUGGGUAAAGAAGCACCGGCUAACUACGUG